rnacentral:lncRNA from 1 species
CAUUCAUAUGAUUAACCCAGUUAUAUAUAGCAUCUCCAUCUUCCCACGAAAUUCUUAACUGUAAGACUGUAAAAUCGACUCAAAAUGCACUGGUAAUUUGUCUCUAGGGUUUUAAGGAUUUCGUUUUCGUUUUCAAUUUCAUUUUUCUUCUGUGUUUGAAAAGAUAAAGAAAUGGAUAGAUAAGGUUGGAAAGCAGAAACCGGAAUUGCCGAAUAACGAGAAUGAGAUCCGAAUUACUUAUCAGGGUUUGGUCCGUAAUUACAUUAGCUAUGCUACUAGUCUUCUUCAGGUUGUACACUAAUUAUCUCUCGUUGCUAUUAUAUAUAUAGUUUCGUGGUUUUGUUGCUGUUUUUUUAGGGUGUUCUGGUUAUGUCGUUUUAAUUUUCCUUCUUUCGCAUUAUGACAUUUAUAGAUUUUAGUAGCAUUCUUGUGAUAUCGCGGCUUGUAUUUGGGCGCUCUAAUUUUCUUUUCUUGGUUUUACGGUUGACCUCAGUUCAUAGAAUGAUUUUAUGAGUUUUUUUAAUUUACAUUUAUUUUGCCUCUUUCCCUUCGUUUCAAAAUUUUUAUGUAUUUGUUUGAUGAUUGUUUGAGAAUUUAGAUAAUACAUGCGCAAUGAAUGUCCCCAUUUUCAUUAUAUUGUAUCUUUUGAUCUGUAUUUGCUAGCAUUCAAGUUUGGUAAAUAUAGCGAGUUUUACCCGUGAAUAGAAUUUAGGGACUUGACUUGAGUCUUGAGAGACAGAUUGUCUCUGUUGUCUAUUUGUCUUCAAAACUUUUUGAUUGUGCUUUCAAUUAUUUUGUCUCUUGAGGCUUUGGGCCAGGAAGAAGAAUGAAAACUUGUAUUUUAACAUUAUUUCGACUUGUAUUUCUGAUGCCUUGUGGGUUGAACAAUUUUCUUCUCGUUUCCCAAUUUCCAUUGUUUCUGUUCAUAUAAUGGACAUGCUUGCAUAGGAUGAUGUGCUUAUUAUUUAAUGUUUUUUAUCCUGUAGUUAAUUAUCCUGAAACCUGGACUACUAUUGUGAAUACUGCAGUUGUUCUCCAUUAGGGAUCCAUUUCAUCCUGAAAUAAUCAGCUUUUCUACUGAAGGAAGAGUAGUAACCUAGUAUGAUUCAAAAGAAAUGAGAUGAUGUUGUUGCGGAACCAUUGACGAAUUCCAGAAUAAAAAGUAAGCACCUAGCCUUAAGAAAGAGGUCUUUAUUUCGAAAAGAAAAAAACUAGAAGAGAAUACAUUGUUCCAGGGACAGAGAAUCCAAUAAAUAACAUAGGCCAAAUUGAAGAAACUUUUGGCAUUUGAUAGUCUUUGUGGGGGGAAUUAUGAAAAAUUAAAUUUUCAGUGAUCCAAAAACAUUGGUAACAAGAGGGCGUAAUGUAUUAAUUACGAAACUGCAGAAUUUAUAAUCCCAAACUGAGUGUGGAUAAUAAAAUCUUUGGCCAAAAAAUGAAUGUAAUGCAAAUUAGGGCACUGGUCAGUGAUGCAAGCUCGUCCAACCUUUUUAGUCUAAAUUUGCUGAGGUUGAAUAGCAUGUCUGGUCUUGUUGAUUGACACCAAAAAGUUUGUGUAAAAUAUUUUUGUCCAAUUUGAUGAAUUUUUUUCCUCUACCCUCCCUCGCGUGUGUUCUGAUUGUUUCAGUUGUUCAAAAAUUGGGCCUCUGACCAAGUAAAACCUGAAAUUUUCAUGGUUAGCACUUUAUUCACUAGGUGCAAAGCUUGCAAGAAUUGAGUUAUGAAGUAUUUAUCAAGUUAUUGUAUGUAUUUGGUGUUCGCUGUCAUCCAAAUGUGCUAGCUAAGCAUGUUAUAAUUCUGAUGUUUAGGAGAGUGAUGUGAAAGAGAGAGUCUUGAAAGCAAUGGGUCACACAAUAAGCAAAACAGUGGCUAUUGCAGAGAUCAUCGAGGUUUCUUCAUAAAUUCCUUGUACAUAUAUUUCCUUCUUUAUUUGUUUAGAAUACAAUGACCGAACUCAGUCCUUUAGUUUUGAAAUAGAGAAGAAUCCCUUGAUUGCAUUAAGCAACUGCCAUCAGUUCAACGAUAUAACGGAUACGUUUGAACACAUUGAAGAGGACCUUGAGAUGUAAGAUUCGACUCUUGCAUACUUAGUUUGUGCUCCUUCAUAGUUUUCAUUCGCGUGCAGCUUUAUGAACUAAGCGGUGAUUCAUUAUUUUGCUCUUUAAUUAAAUGCAUUUUGCCAGUAGAAGAUAUACUUCUGAGUCUUUAACAUUGAUUUUAAUGCUUAAUUCAGAGUGUAGCAGACUAGUGAAGUCUCAUUGAUUUCCAUCACCUUGUCAACUAAGGAGCUCAACAAGAGUUCUCCUGGGUAAUUUUCAAGUUUUUUGAAUCUCCACUAGAUAUUUUAUGGAGGGUUAAGAGGAGAGAGGGGAGUAAGGAGGUAGAUAUAAUAAACACCCAUGCUCUGAUGCUGAAAAUGUUGCUUUGAUGACUGAGUUUGGAAAAAUUCCUUUUUGAAAAGCUGCUUAAGUUUUUUAGCAACCGGCUAUGUUGUUG